rnacentral:rRNA from 1 species
GACGGAGGGUGCAAGCGUUGCUCGGAAUCACUGGGCGUAAAGGGUGCGUAGGCGGUCUCGCAAGUCUGGCGUGAAAGCCCAAGGCUCAGCCUUGGAAGUGCGCUCGAAACGGCGAGGCUGGAGUGCCGGAGGGGAGAGUGGAAUUCCCGGUGUAGUGGUGAAAUGCGUAGAUAUCGGAAGGAACAUCAGUGGCGAAAGCGGCUUCCUGGACCAGUACCGACGUUCAGGCACGAAAGCGUGGGGAGCAAACAGG